CGUAUAGUUGAAAAAUACUGAUGAGCGGCUGGUCCUCUGUCUGCACCCUUGUCUUUUGCGCACCCAAGUUUCCUCGGCGGGUUUGCCUGCCGGUUGGACACAACUAUAACCCAUUUUAUUUUCAAUCAGCGUCUGAAAACUUUUGAAUAAUUACAACUUUCAACAACGGAUCUCUUGGUUCUGGCAUCGAUGAAGAACGCAGCGAAAUGCGAUAAGUAGUGUGAAUUGCAGAAUUCAGUGAAUCAUCGAAUCUUUGAACGCACAUUGCGCCCCUUGGUAUUCCAUGGGGCAUGCCUGUUCGAGCGUCAUUUGUAUCUUCAAGCUCUGCUUGGUGUUGGGUGUUUGUCCGCUCCUCUGUGUUUGGACUCGCCUCAAAGCAAUUGGCAGCCAGUGUUUUGGUAUUGAAGCGCAGCACAUUUUGCAAUUCUAGCCUAGAAUACUUGCGUCCAUAAGCCCAUUUUCAACUUUUGACCUCGGAUCAGGUAGGGAUACCCGCUGAACUUAAGCAUAUCAAU
rnacentral:rRNA from 1 species